GCGGCGAUGGUAUAAUGGUAGAAUAGGAGCUUUCCAAGCUCUUGAUCCGGGUUCGAUUCCCGGUCGCCGCA
rnacentral:tRNA from 1 species